rnacentral:rRNA from 1 species
UACGAAGGGGGCUAGCGUUGUUCGGAAUUACUGGGCGUAAAGGGCGCGUAGGCUGUGCUGUAAGUCAGGCGUGAAAGCCCCGGGCUCAACCUGGGAAUUGCGUUUGAUACUGCGGCGCUGGAAGGUGGGAGAGGAUGGCGGAAUUCCCAGUGUAGAGGUGAAAUUCGUAGAUAUUGGGAAGAACACCAGUGGCGAAGGCGGCUCUCUGGUCCGAUACUGACGCUGAGGUGCGAAAGCGUGGGGAGCAAACAGG